UUUACUGGUUUUCAUUUUAAA
ensembl:piRNA 21ur-11952 ncRNA